rnacentral:rRNA from 1 species
GAUGAACGCUAGCUACAGGCUUAACACAUGCAAGUCGAGGGGUAACGAGAGGAAAGCUUGCUUUCCUUGUCGACGACCGGCGCACGGGUGAGUAACGCGUAUCCAACCUGCCCCCAACUAGGGAAUAACCUUGCGAAAGUAAGACUAAUACCCUAUAAUUUCCUCAGAUGUCAUCUGACGAGGAAUAAAGAUUUAUCGGUUGUGGAUGGGGAUGCGUCUGAUUAGCUUGUUGGCGGGGUAACGGCCCACCAAGGCAACGAUCAGUAGGGGUUCUGAGAGGAAGGUCCCCCACAUUGGAACUGAGACGCGGUCCAAACUCCUUAGGGAGGAAGCAGUGAGGAAUAUUGGUCAAUGCGCGGAAGGCUGAACCAGCCAAGUAGCGUGCAGGAUGACGGCCUUAUGUGUUGUAAACUGCUUUUAUACAGGAAUAAAGUUAGCCACGUGUGGUUAUUUGUAGGUACUGUAUGAAUAAGGACCGGCUAAUUCCGUGCCAGCAGCCGCCGCGG